GGCACGCGGCAAACCCUCCUACGAGGACUCUUCUAGCACCGGGACACUCAUCGGAACCUCUUUACUAUCAAACAAUAGCAACCUGAAGCAAGUCAUUGCUAUAGUGAAGGGCAUGAUCCCGAUCGGUUACCCAGGGGCUCAUUUAUAGCCGAAGGGCUGCAACUGCCAACUACUCGCAGUUACUGCUCGCUCGUGACGAACAGCCUGAGACACUAACAAGGGUCAGACACACAACUUAACUCCACCCAUGUGACCGCACUGAGCAUAACAAACAAAAGUGAACAGUGUACCCAUGCACCCUCUCAAGUAUAUGGAAAUAAUAGCUACAGUACCCUCACCAGCAACUCCAAUAAUUGAAGAACACACUGGAUACUACGACUAAUCGAUUACUCGAAUUUGUUUUCCUGACUAUUAGGUCAAUGAACAAAGAUCACUGAUCAUAAUCAUAAUUUAAAUUUUUUGAUAGAGCAAGAUUUACAAGACUUGUUCGAGUACACCCACAAGUGUUCAACGAAAAAUACAACACGAGUUGAAAUGACUAGGGUUCCUCCAAGGAUAUGAACUCGGUCAUCCUUG
rnacentral:lncRNA from 1 species